rnacentral:tRNA from 4 species
AGUAGUUCAAUUGGUAGAGCACCGGUCUCCAAAACCGGCUGUUGGGGGUUCGAGUCCCUCCUGG